rnacentral:rRNA from 1 species
GCAAGUCGUACGAGAACGCUCUAGCUUGCUAGAGCAAGUAAAGUGGCGCACGGGUGAGUAACGCGAGGGUAAUCUACCUUCGAUAGGGGAUAACGUUGCGAAAGCGACGCUAAUAUCGAAUAACAUCCAUAAGGCAUCGGUUUUUUGGAUCAAAGGUGGCCUCUACAUGUAAGCUACUGUUUGAAGAUGAGCCCGCGUACCAUUAGCUUGUUGGCAGGGUAAUGGCCUACCAAGGCAACGAUGGUUAGCGGGUCUGAGAGGAUGAUC